rnacentral:lncRNA from 1 species
CCGCUAGUAAUGGGCUGAAUUGUUAUGACUGUUAUGGGCUGAAGUGUGUCCCCUAAAAUUCAUACAUUGAAGUACUAACCCUCAGUACCUCAAAACAUGACCUUAUUUGGAAAUAGGGUCUUUAGGGUGGGCCCUAAUCCAGUAUGACUGGUGUCCUUAUUAAGAAAAAAAAGGGAAAUUUGAACACAAACAGGGAGAACACUGUGAAGAUGAAGGCAGGGACCUACAAGGCAAGGAUGCCAAAGACUGUCAGAAAAUGACCAGAAGGUAAGGAAGAGGCCUGGAACAGAUUCUCCACCUCACAGCCCUCAGAAGGAACCAAUCUUACCAACACGUUGAUCUCAGACUUCUUGCCUCCAGAACUGCGAGACAAUAAAUCUCUGUUGUUGAAGUGAGCGACCCAGUGUGUGGUACGUUGUUACAGCGGCCCCAGGAGACUAAUGCAGUGGCAGAGCCAGGAUUCAAACCCAGGCCGUCUGGUGCCAGGGCCCAAGCACUCACCACUCUGCAUGGUGGUGGUUGGUGGUGUUCUGUCCUGCUCAGACACACCCACUCUUCGUCUUUCUUCCUUCACUCCCUUCUCCUCCCUCCUUCCCUCUUUUUUCUCCAACUCUACCAUUUCUACUUUUCCUUGUUUCUCUCCAUCCAUAUUAGUUAUGUCUGUGCAAGAAAAUACCUAAAACUAAGACUUUAAACAACUAACAUGGACUGUCUAACAGUUUCUGUGCAUCAGGAAUUGGGGUGUGUCCUAGCCAGGUGCCUCUGGCUCCAGGUUUCUCAUGAGGUUGCAGUCCGGCUGCUGUCAGCUGGAGCUGGGACAUCUCAGGACUUGGCAGGGACCAAAGGAUCUGCUUAUGAGCUCACUCAUGUGCUUGUUGGCAGCCUUAGUUCCUCAUAGACUGUUGGAUUGAGGGCCUCAUUCCUAGCCACACCAUAUUUUUUUACCAAGGUAAUAAAUGCUGUUUAUGACUUUAAAUCUACACAGUAUACAAAUACAUUAAUACACUGUGAAAUGAAAAAAACCAAACACAUUUAUGAUAGUAUUAUUGGUCACCAACGUGGAGAGAGGAAGGAAACUUCACAGUUGUGGAAUGCCCAAAUAUUCUCAUUAAGGCCAUGUGGUCCUCUUCAUUGGGCUGCUUUUGAUGUGAGUUAUCCGAGAGAGAGAGAGAGAGAGAGAGAGAGAGGCUGCUCAGGUACCCAGGAUGGAAACCACAGUCUUUUUAUAACCUAAUCUUGGAAAUGAUACCCCACUGCUUCUGCCAUAUUCUAUUCAUUAGAAGUGAGGAUCACCCAAGGGUGAGAAUACCAGGAUGUGGGGAUCAUUGAGGGUCCUCCAGAAGGCUGCCUCCCACACCAUCCUCCCUCUGCUGGUGUGCUCAUGACCGCUGGGUCACCCUUGCUGACGGGAGAGAGGGGUGGGGCCUCGACUGUGAUUUGCGGUCCGAGUACAUGUGGUGGGGGAGAGGCAGUGUGAGGACAGAGCCACUUGAUGCUGGAAAGAGCCAAGGUGUGCUCAAAACUACAUACAUUCAAUUAAUGUCUCUGAAAUAUUUUAUUUGCUAUAAGAAUAUAAUGCAAAAUACCAAAGCAUUUGUGAAGUGCCCUGAGGAAGCUUCAAGACAUAGCGUUUCCAGUGUCCUCAGAAGAAGCUUCUAAGGCCUCAGAGAAAAAUAUAAGUUUUGGCCAAAUGCCUCAAAUCCAUAUGCACACUCCAUCUACCAAAUGGUGUUAAUAGUUUCCUUUUUAAAGAACUCUUGAGUUCUGAUGCUCCAUGUGGAGAUGGAAAAUCAAGUCGUGCCCCGCAGUGGCUGGUCCUCAUAAUUAAGAUUAAACUCGUACACAGAGACCAACUGGAAAAGGGCUUUUCUCCUGGACCAGUUAAAAUGGAGCCCCUCUACCUGAAGAUGAGCAGCAACAAGCUCACAGGCAAAAUCUACCACUGGAUGGAGUAGAUGUGACUCCUUCUCUCUAAUGCCAACACGCAUGUGCAGAGGGUUUUACAGUGUGUGAAGCACUUUACCAUCAAUUAUUCAGUCCUCUCCACAGCCCAUGAGGUGAGUGGGUAUGGCCUACAUCAUUAUUUCUGUCUCGUUCAAGAGGAAACUGAGUCUCAGAGGAAGUGACUUGUGUAAGGACCAGAGUUGGGCCUGAGCAGGCCUAAGAUGCAGACCUGCUCUCUACAGAGCCCAGGGCAGUCUUUCCAUCCCCAAACUGAGAAAAUUAGGAAGGGACAGUAGAAAGCCAGCUAAGUGGAGGGUAAUAAGUGGGCUUAUAUCCCAGCUUUGGAAGAAAAACAGGAGUUUUCACUGAGGCCUCAUGGGCCAGCAGUAGAUUUAAUGCAGUCAUGAGCAGGUCAAAGCAUGAGAGAAGGAGACCAACUGGGAUGUUUCUUGGGUCUUUCCUGAUCUGCUCUCUUGGUUGGACUUCCAGCUCUCAACUCUGUGGCCACCCACAAGCCCAGCAUAAACAGGAUUGAAAACUCGGUCCUCUCCAUUUGUCCCUCUUCCACCUUCUCGAGUGAGGGCUUUCUCACUCAACAAAAAUUUUCUGAGUGCUUCCUCUGUGCCAGGCACCAAGGAUACAGCAGUGGGCAACACCCAAGCAGAUCUCUGCCUUCCUUGAAGUUCUAUGCUCCACUCUCCCUAUUUCAUUUCAGGUCUGUCAGCACUUCAGCGUGUGUUGGAGUUGUAGGCAUCAUCAGAAGAGCUGGAGCUGUGAGUCCAUCGUCCAACGUUGAAGAAACAGAAAGAAAGCUUUCUAUUUUCCAGAGGCAGGCCUGUGCAAAGCAACCUUUCCCAGAUGGGUGGACUCCGCAGUCCUCUCGUAAUGGACCCCACACAGGCACACUGAGUCAGCACGCACAGAUUUCUGUUAAAACACUGACUGGGCUCUUUGAGCACCAGAAGUUAUCCAGCCGUGUCUCAUCAGCAGCCAACAACUCCAUGCUCCUCAUGGCUCCCUCCCCGACAUCAGUCCUGAGGGGAUAUCAGAGAGUCCGAGAGCCCAACUACAGUCCGAAGACUUGGUCAUGGUUAGUGGCGGAUGUGCCACUAACGACUGUAUAAUCUUGGGUGAAUCAUUCUGAUCUUUGGCCUCUUGUGUCCUCAUUUAUGCAAUAAUGUACCCCUAAGGUUUCUUCUGGUUCUAGAACUCUCUGACACUCAGACAUGGCCAGAUCCCCAUGUUAACCAUUGUGCUGCGUUCCAGUGCCGGUCUUUGGGUUUUGCUCUUUGCCUGAAAAAGGGUGUUACUGUGUCAAGUGCACACUGUUUGCUUCCUGAGAAACAGAGAAGCGUCUCGGCUGAAUCUGGGAAUUUUGGACUUUUCCAGACUUGGAUCCCAGCCCAGAGGCAAGGAAGAGCAUGAGGUCAUUCUAAAUGGAGGGGAAAAUGGCUCCUGGCAGCUCCAGGGGCCCUAAAGAUCUUUGAUCCCAGUGGAAGAGAGAAAGUCCCUUCUGAGAGCUCCAGAAAGCAGGAAGGCUGAUUUUUCUGGCUUGAGCUACACAUCUACCUCUGAAGCACUGUGGUCAAGGAAAUUGAGUACUAGGUUUGGCUUGUGUUUAUCACAUGCCCACCCCUGGGGCAAAGGGUGGGGGUCACUCCUCACCCAUUCACUUGGACUGACCAGCGUUCAAUAGACCAGGAUGUGGGUGGUUUUCCAAGGGAAAAUAUUUUGAGAAAACAUAUGUCUGCUCCAAAGAAGAAAUGCGCUGCUUGCUCAUCCCAAACGUGUGAGCAUAUAUUGCCUAAGGAGAGAGACUGAAUUAAUUAGGAUGGCCGUGAGGUCAGAAAGAGUGGGGGAUGCCCUAAGGGUCUCUGGGUGAACCACACAGUUGCUCAGUGGUUCUAGCAGGAGAGCACACAACAUCUCGUCCAGCCCUCUGCCAUCUCACAAGGGCUUCUGCAUGUAGAAGAGAUGAAGGUCUUUGUGUGUCAUUUGCGGGGCUAGGGGUCCAGUGCUUCCCCUGGAAGAGGCCUCUGUCUCCCACUCUGUGCACUCCUCUGACUAUGAAAGUGGGAAACUGUCACCAACUAGCUGCCCUGAGGAAGUCAAGGACGGGUUUGGAAGAAUUGAAUUGUUUUUCCAAAUUGUUUUUUCCCCUUUCAUUAUGUUAAGAGAAUGCAAUCACCAACCACCUUGAACCAGACCAAGCCUCACUACAAGAGCUAUGCUUAUGACCUUUGCCUUAUGUUCGAUGCUGCGAUCUCUCCAGGAGAAUCUUAGGCCUUAUUCCCGUAACCUGCAGUGUAUGUGGAAGCAUGUUUUCGAACGGAGCCUGUGCAAGUGAAUACCCACCUCUCCCUUUUGAAUAUUCAUUCCCCACCCGAAAUAAAAGGUCCCUGCUUCCCUUUGUUUGGGGACGCCAUGACUCUGGAAAUGAUU